rnacentral:rRNA from 1 species
CUAGGCCCAUAAGACUUUGAACUUAAUUGAUCUCAGAAGCUAAGCAGAGUCAGGCAAACUUAGUACUUGGUGGUAGAAACUGGUGAAGAUUAUGUGUCUUUUUGU